GGUGAAUGUAUUAGUGAUCAUGAUGAUCAAGAUAUUGUACUGAGAGACUUAUGAAUGAUAGUCACAAAAUUUUUGAUGCGGAAAAUUAUUCUGGAAAUAUUAGUAUAGCCACUAGUAUACAAUCUAUAGUUACCUUAUCUCACUAAGUUUCAAGACAAGAAUAUCUUAGGUUUGUUUAAUUUCAUGUGAAAAGCUAAAUUCAUUAUUCAGGUUGUGAUGAACUGAAACUUUCUUGUUUAAAGCUCUUGUUAAGUUCACUUCAAAUAGCAUUGAAUUUUUUUGUGAACCUGCCUUCAUCAUGCUGGUUAAGGAAGUUAUGUUAUGGAACUAAGCUUUGUAGGACUAUGUGUGACAAGAUACCUUUGAAAGAUCUGCUUCACUACAUGGAACCGAGAGUUCAU
rnacentral:lncRNA from 1 species